rnacentral:misc_RNA from 1 species
AACGCACAUUGCGCCCGGUAGUACUCUACCGGGCAUGCCUGUCCGAGCGUCAUUUCAACCCUCGGGACCCGUUUCGGCGGGACCCGGCGUUGGGGAUCGGCCGUCCUUUGCGGCGCGCCGGCCCCGAAAUACAGUGGCGGUCUCGUUGUGACUCCCCUGCGUAGUAGUAACAUCUCGCAUGUGGAUAGUGACGCGGCCACGCCGUAAAACCCCCAACUUUAUCAAGGUUGACCUCGGAUCAGGUAGGAAUACCCGCUGAACUUAA